rnacentral:misc_RNA from 1 species
GUGAAACAGGAUUAACUGGAAUACCUCUAUUUGUAUGUCUUGCUAACAGUCUCAGUGUAUGUUCUCAAUUUCAUUAAGACCAAACCUUAUGAAGUUCUUACUAAGUUCAGGUUAUUGAAGUGUAGAUUCAUGUGCAUUUGCAGUAUAAUCUAAGCUGAUUCAUGCCAUGCUUUCUUUUACUUAUUUGUUAAAUUUGUAGUUUGG